CAGUAGCCGCGGGAAUACGUAGGUGGCAAGCGUUGUCCGGAAUUAUUGGGCGUAAAGGGCUCGCAGGCGGUUUCUUAAGUCUGAUGUGAAAGCCCCCGGCUCAACCGGGGAGGGUCAUUGGAAACUGGGGAACUUGAGUGCAGAAGAGGAGAGUGGAAUUCCACGUGUAGCGGUGAAAUGCGUAGAGAUGUGGAGGAACACCAGUGGCGAAGGCGACUCUCUGGUCUGUAACUGACGCUGAGGAGCGAAAGCGUGGGGAGCGAACAGGAUUAGAGACCCGCGUAGUCCCUGUCUCUUAUAC
rnacentral:rRNA from 1 species